rfam:Termitomyces sp. J132 unplaced genomic scaffold scaffold173, whole genome shotgun sequence.
UCCCUCUUAGCUCAGUGGUAGAGCGCGUCACUAGUAUACAAAUCCAAGUACAUGACGAGGUCAGUCGUUCAAGUCGGCUAGAGGGAA